UACGAAGGGGGCUAGCGUUGCUCGGAAUGACUGGGCAUAAAGGGCGCGUAGGCGGAUGGCACAGUCAGAUGUGAAAUUCCCGGGCUUAACCUGGGGGCUGCAUUUGAUACGUGUGAUCUAGAGUGAGGAAGAGGGUCGUGGAAUUCCCAGUGUAGAGGUGAAAUUCGUAGAUAUUGGGAAGAACACCGGUGGCGAAGGCGGCGACCUGGUCCUUGACUGACGCUGAGGCGCGAAAGCGUGGGGAGCAAACAGG
rnacentral:rRNA from 1 species